GGUCCUGUAACGCAAUGGUAGCGUGCCACUUUCCGGAGGUGGAAGUUCCAGGUUCGAGUCCUGGCUGGAUCG
rnacentral:tRNA from 1 species